AGUUUGAUCAUGGCUCAGAUUGAACGCUAGCGGGAUGCCUUACACAUGCAAGUCGAACGGCAGCGCGGACUUCGGUCUGGCGGCGAGUGGCGAACGGGUGAGUAAUGUAUCGGAACGUGCCCAGUAGCGGGGGACAACCACUCGAAAGAGUGGCUAAUACCGCGUACGCCCGUACGGGGAAAGGGGGGGAUCGCAAGACCUCUCACUAUUGGAGCGGCCGAUAUCGGAUUAGCUAGUUGGUGGGGUAAAGGCCUACCAAGGCGACGAUCCGUAGCUGGUUUGAGAGGACGACCAGCCACACUGGGACUGAGACACGGCCCAGACUCCUACGGGAGGCAGCAGUGGGGAAUUUUGGACAAUGGGGGAAACCCUGAUCCAGCCAUUCCGCGUGUGCGAUGAAGGCCUUCGGGUUGUAAAGCACUUUUGGCAGGAAAGAAAUCGUGUGGGUUAAUACCCUGCGCGGAUGACGGUACCUGCAGAAUAAGCACCGGCUAACUACGUG
rnacentral:rRNA from 1 species